CGUCAGGGCCCCAUGCUUCCGGCCGGGCCGCCGCCGGGUAGGGUUACAUUCAAGACAGGGACCCUACUUUUAUGGCUACGGAUUCCUAGGUAAGUGGCGAGCAUUUUAUUACCCAAUCCUGACACAAGCAGGGAGAAGCCAAAAAUAACAAUGCCAGACUUUUUCAAGUCUGGGAAUUGAAAUGACAACAAGUUAAAAUCCUUAGCUAGGAUCCUUUGUUGGCCAAGGGUGGCAAUCUUCACCGCCGUAAUUCCGCCUCAAAUAGCGUAUAUGAAAAUUGUUUCCGUUAAAAUGCUCGAAGUUGGAUUUCUGGCUGUGGUGUCUACCUGUCUCGUAAAGAGGUCGUGGCUAUUACACUUCUGGCCUCACUUGUGGUUAAUCUGAGAUGGGUUUAAUUUGUCGGCGGAUUGACGCUCGUUAAUUACUAAGUAAAAAUUAGAGUGUUCAUCGGAGAAAUAGUUAUUUGAAUACAUUAGCAUGGAAUUAUAAGUUCCGACUCUUUUGAUCUAUUUUGUUGG
rnacentral:rRNA from 1 species